GAGCUUGCUCUUCUUGGAUGAGUUGCGAACGGGUGAGUAACGCGUAGGUAACCUGCCUUGUAGCGGGGGAUAACUAUUGGAAACGAUAGCUAAUACCGCAUAACAAUGGAUGACACAUGUCAUUUAUUUGAAAGGGGCAAUUGCUCCACUACAAGAUGGACCUGCGUUGUAUUAGCUAGUAGGUGAGGUAAUGGCUCACCUAGGCGACGAUACAUAGCCGACCUGAGAGGGUGAUCGGCCACACUGGGACUGAGACACGGCCCAGACUCCUACGGGAGGCAGCAGUAGGGAAUCUUCGGCAAUGGGGGCAACCCUGACCGAGCAACGCCGCGUGAGUGAAGAAGGUUUUCGGAUCGUAAAGCUCUGUUGUAAGUCAAGAACGGGUGUGAGAGUGGAAAGUUCACACUGUGACGGUAGCUUACCAGAAAGGGACGGCUAACUACGUGCCAGCAGCCGCGGUAAUACGUAGGUCCCGAGCGUUGUCCGGAUUUAUUGGGCGUAAAGCGAGCGCAGGCGGUUUGAUAAGUCUGAAGUUAAAGGCUGUGGCUCAACCAUAGUUCGCUUUGGAAACUGUCAAACUUGAGUGCAGAAGGGGAGAGUGGAAUUCCAUGUGUAGCGGUGAAAUGCGUAGAUAUAUGGAGGAACACCGGUGGCGAAAGCGGCUCUCUGGUCUGUAACUGACGCUGAGGCUCGAAAGCGUGGGGAGCGAACAGGAUUAGAUACCCUGGUAGUCCACGCCGUAAACGAUGAGUGCUAGGUGUUGGAUCCUUUCCGGGAUUCAGUGCCGCAGCUAACGCAUUAAGCACUCCGCCUGGGGAGUACGACCGC
rnacentral:rRNA from 1 species